rnacentral:rRNA from 1 species
AUGGUGACUUACUCUACACAUAAGUCCAUUGUCCAGUUUCUGAUGAGUAUAUUGCCACAUUUAGAGUAUCAUGCACACCAAGGACUUGGAGAGCAAACACCACAAAGCGGCAUGGAACAAUCGUUUCGAAGCCUCAGAAAGCGAUUGGAAUGGAUCGACCUGGACGUCCUGGGGAAGGCAUCACAGACCACUCGGUUGCAUGUUUGCACACAACAUGAUCGGCUGGGUUUCCUGUGGAAGUCAAGCAACAACAGAGGAGAAAGCCGACGCACACUUGUCGGAUACAAAUAUGGUCGUAGUUCAUGCACAAGAAUGGGAGAAAUGGGUCAACCAAAGGUGGAUCUCUACUUUUCAAAUUACCGAAUGGAGAUUUAUAUUGAGGCCAUUGAUUAUCUUGUAGAAGAACCUAGUUUUCAAUGA